rnacentral:rRNA from 1 species
GGAAUCUUCGGCAAUGGACGAAAGUCUGACCGAGCAACGCCGCGUGAGUGAAGAAGGUUUUCGGAUCGUAAAACUCUGUUGUUGGAGAAGAACGUAUUUGAUAGUAACUGAUCAGGUAGAGACGGUAUCCAACCAGAAAGCCACGGCUAACUACGUGCCAGCAGCCGCGGUAAUACGUAGGUGGCAAGCAUUGUCCGGAUUUAUUGGGCGUAAAGCGAGCGCAGGCGGUUUCUUAAGUCUGAUGUGAAAGCCUUCGGCUCAACCGAAGAAGUGCAUCGGAAACUGGGAAACUGGAGUGCAGAAGAGGACAGUGGAACUCCAUGUGUAGCGGUGAAAUGCGUAGAUAUAUGGAGGAACACCGGUGGCGAAAGCGGCUCUCUGGCCUGUAACUGACACUGAGGCUCGAAAGCGUGGGGAGCAAACA